AAGUGGGUAGUUUAACCUUUCGGGGAGGACGCUCACCACUUUGUGGUUCAUGACUGGGGUGAAGUCGUAACAAGGUAGCGCUAGGGGAACCUGGCGCUGGAUCACCUCCUUAUACGAUGAU
rnacentral:rRNA from 1 species